UCAACACUCCCUGCGUCCCAAAAUUCUUGUCUUAGAUUUGUCUAAAUACGAAUGUAUCAAGUCAUGUUUUAGUAUUAGGUACAUCCGUAUCUAGACAAAUUUAAGACAAGAAUUUUGGGACGGUGGGAGUAAUAA
rnacentral:pre_miRNA from 1 species